GCAUUUAAAUUGUUGUAUGUGGAGUGUACAGGACUGCGGAUAUCAAACUCUCAAUGUGUACUGCAAAUUCCGUCCUCCCCAGCCAACAUUAACAUUUCAGGGGUCAUUGGCUGCUUAUAACUGAGUAGGACUUUGUCUCAACUUCUUCCCUACUUUGUGUGCUUAGUCAUAAAAGAAAAGGAUGAAGAAGUGUUUCAUCAAUAAGGAAUAACAAGUUAAAAAGUAUUUUAUUAAAAAUGAAAACAUUAACAAUCAAAUUAUGAAGGUCUUGAAAAGGAGAUCUCAGCUGUAAAACGUUCUCUUCAAACAUGAAAGUGAGUAUUAAAAUAGCAACUAAUUCAGAAUAAGCAAGGAGAAAUGAAACAUUGGAACUAAAUGUACAUAAGAGUUUUGAUUAUAAGCAAUAGCAAAACCCAAUUACCUUUUUGUUUUAGUUAAUAUUUGCCUUAUUUGCAUCUGUCCUGAAAAAAUCCAAAUUUUAAUUAUUUUUAUUUUUAUUGCUUUAAGUUUUAUGGAAACUAACAAAAGAGGCAAAGAAAUUGGAGCCAUCACAAUAGGUUUUAGAGUCAUCCAAAUGACUCAAAUAGUUACCAGCAUUUACUCUAAUUUAAACCAGAGCUAAAGAAACCUCAGAAUCUUUAAGGUCUGCAUGUCCCCCUAAGCCACUCAUUUGGGGUGGGGGGCAAAACUCACUCUGAUGCUUCCUGGAAAUAGCAAUAUUGGUUUUCUCCCAAAAAUACAAAUAAAUUACUCCUAAUUAGAAUUAAGGAGAAAAAGAGUUUUCUCCCAGAGCCAGGAAAAUACAGAAAUCCCAUUCAUUAUAUACUUUUAUCUUCACCUACUUCAGCCUUUACUUUCUCAAAAGCACAGGCUGUUGCUAAUGUGGCCAUCUCUAAAUAAAAUAUUAACGGUAUUCAUUGAUAAACUUGAGAUAGUAUGGUCUUAUUCAUAAGUAACAAAACUAGAAUUACAGUAGCAGUUUAAUAUACUAAACCAAAAAAGAUCUUAAUUUUGUUCUCAGCUUAAUUUUCUUAGUUUAUUCAAGAAAGUUUACAUUUUCUGGUAUGGGGAAACGCACUGAUCAUGACAAAUCAACAUAAUUGUCUUUUUUGAUACAGUGACAAUUUAAAUAACUAGAAACAGACAGUGGACAGUUUAAGUUAUAUUCAACAAAGUCUCCCAUAAAAUGCUAGAAGAGGGCAUGGCAAAAGAUGAACCGGACAAUCAUAUCAUUGGAUGAAUAUUGAGUUGAACUAAUAUACUCAGCAAAUCACGUUAAGUUGGAAAGAACUGAGUGGUUACACAAGGACUCAAUUCUAGGCUUUGUGCCCCUGAAGAUAUAACUUGAAGGGUUAAAAAUAAAACCAAACUGUACAUGUCACAAAGGCAAAAGGGAAAAUAAACAUAUUAGAGGACAAUAUCAAGAUUCAUGAGAUAGUAAAUUAUCAAACUGGAAUAAAUGGGUAGAAACCAGCAAGAUAAAUUUCAACAGUGACAAAUGCCAAGUCUUAUAUUUGGGUAGGAAAAAUUAAAUGCAUAGUUAAGAAUUACAGGGCUUGGCAGCACUACAUGCAAAAAGAUUGUGAGUGUUUUGAUAGAUUAUAUGAUGAAUAUAGGCACUAGCAUAUAACUGCAAAAAAGGGCAAAUGCAAUCCUAGACUCUACCAAAAGAAGUCAUUGCUUUUCUCUAUUUUACAUUGAUUUUGAUCUCAUCUGGAAUAUUGCAUCCAGUUCUAGGCACAUAGAAAGGAUAGUGAUAAACAAAUGUAUGUCCAAGGAAUAGCAAGGAAGGUAAGGAGGCAUUUAUGAGGAAUAACUGGAAGCUGCUUACCCUGGAGAAGAUUUCGGGCAUCUAUCAAGUCAGGUACUCAACUCACAAUAAUUGGGAUUGGAAUUUCCUUUAGUAAAUGACACAGCACAUUUACUAAGUCAUAAAGCACAAUUGCAUCACUUAGCAAUGGCAAUCCCUGUAUUUCUGGUUGCCAUCAUUAACUAGACCAAUUGUUAGAUGAGGCAACUUCCUGCCCGAUUUCCCCAACCAAAGUCAAUGGGAAAAUCACUACAAGGGUUCCAGGUAGAAGGGAUUGCGCAUGGUAGUGUGGGGGAGGAUUAAGAAAGGUGUGCAAGAGGCACAGCACAGCAUGAGAGUGGAUCAGGAGGAGUACAAGAGAGAUGCUGUGCAGGUCAAGGAGGAUUAGGGAGGGUGUACAAGAGCAGAAGUAAAUUGCUAACAACUUCAAUUGAAGGUUGUGUUGUGAGAAAACAAACAGGCAAUCCUUCCUUCCCGAUGUAAAAGUAAAAUUAUAUAUCUUGUUAUUUUAGGUUGUCUCCGAUAUUUGCAUCUGACUGUGUGAAGUCCACUCUUAAGUUUUGCACCAUCUUUAAACCAAUUGAGCUUCAGACAAUACUUAUUUGAAUCAGCGCUAAAUCGUCCUUUGAAAUGUAUGGCUGUGAAAGUUGGACCAUAAGGAAGUCUGAGCACCAAAGAACUGAGGCUUUUGAAUUGAGAAGACUCAUGUGAGUCCCUUGGACUGCAAGGCAAUCAAACCGGUCCUGAAGAUGAUACUCAAAUACUUU